rnacentral:lncRNA from 1 species
CUGGCAGCACCAGCUUUGCAAAAACCCAAGGCCAAACCCAGAUAUAAAAACUUUAUUUAUCGAUCACUCAUGUUCACCUUCCAAUGGUCCUCUGGCACCAACACCUGUCAAUCUUCCAGUUUCUGCUGUUGCAAAGCCUGCUGCUUACAAGGCCAAACCCAGAUAUAAAAACUUUAUUUAUCGAUCACUCAUGUUCACCUUCCAAUGGUCCUCUGGCACCAACACCUGUCAAUCUUCCAGUUUCUGCUGUUGCAAAGCCUGCUGCUUAUACUUCUCUUGGAGUGGGAGCUCAUGGUGUAUGAUACCCUGCAUUUCAAAAAUUG